rnacentral:rRNA from 17 species
AUUCCUUGUCGGGUAAGUUCCGACCUGCACGAAUGGCGUAACGAUGGCCACACUGUCUCCACCCGAGACUCAGUGAAAUUGAAAUUGCGGUUAAGAUGCCGUAUACCCGCGGCUAGACGGAAAGACCCCGUGAACCUUUACUACAGCUUCACAGUGGACUUUGAUAUUACUUGUGUAGGAUAGCUGGGAGGCUUUGAAACUCUGUCGCCAGAUAGAGUGGAGCCAAUCUUGAAAUACCAGCCUGGUAAUAUUGAGGUUCUAACCUAGGUCCCUUAGCGGGAUCAGGGACAUUGUGUGGUGGGUAGUUUGACUGGGGCGGUCUCCUCCCAAA